rnacentral:rRNA from 1 species
CCUACGGGCGGCAGCAGUGAGGAAUAUUGGUCAAUGGGCGGAAGCCUGAACCAGCCAAGUAGCGUGCGGGAUGACGGCCCUACGGGUUGUAAACUGCUUUUGUACGGGGAUAACAUGCGCCACGUGUGAUGGUUUGCAGGUACCGCGUGAAUAAGGGCCGGCUAAUUCCGUGCCAGCAGCCGCGGUAAUACGGAAGGUCCGGGCGUUAUCCGGAUUUAUUGGGUUUAAAGGGAGCGUAGGCGGGCCGUUAAGCGUGCCGUGAAAUGCCGUGGCUCAACCCUGGCACGGCGGUGGAAACUGGAUGCCUUGAGUGCGCGGAACGUAUGCGGAAGUCGUGGUGUAGCGGUGAAAUGCUUAGAUAUCACGAAGAACCCCGAUUGCGAAGGCAGCAUACCGAAGUGCUACUGACGCUGAAGCUCGAAGGCGCGGGUAUCGAACAGGAUUAGAUACCCCUGUAGUC